rnacentral:rRNA from 1 species
GUUUGAUCCUGGCUCAGAACGAACGCUGGCGGCAGGCUUAACACAUGCAAGUCGAGCGCCCCGCAAGGGGAGCGGCAGACGGGUGAGUAACGCGUGGGAAUCUACCCUUUUCUACGGAAUAACGCAUGGAAACGUGUGCUAAUACCGUAUGAGCCCUUCGGGGGAAAGAUUUAUCGGGAAAGGAUGAGCCCGCGUUGGAUUAGCUAGUUGGUGGGGUAAAGGCCUACCAAGGCGACGAUCCAUAGCUGGUCUGAGAGGAUGAUCAGCCACAUUGGGACUGAGACACGGCCCAAACUCCUACGGGAGGCAGCAGUGGGGAAUAUUGGACAAUGGGCGCAAGCCUGAUCCAGCCAUGCCGCGUGAGUGAUGAAGGCCCUAGGGUUGUAAAGCUCUUUCACCGGUGAAGAUAAUGAC